GGGAACGUACCCUUCGGUUCGGAAUAACUCAGGGAAACUUGAGCUAAUACCGGAUACGCCCUUUUGGGGAAAGGUUUACUGCCGAAGGAUCGGCCCGCGUCUGAUUAGCUUGUUGGUGGGGUAACGGCCUACCAAGGCGACGAUCAGUAGCUGGUCUGAGAGGAUGAUCAGCCACACUGGGACUGAGACACGGCCCAGACUCCUACGGGAGGCAGCAGUGGGGAAUAUUGGACAAUGGGCGCAAGCCUGAUCCAGCCAUGCCGCGUGAGUGAUGAAGGCCUUAGGGUUGUAAAGCUCUUUUGUCCGGGACGAUAAUGACGGUACCGGAAGAAUAAGCCCCGGCUAACUUCGUGCCAGCAGCCGCGGUAAUACGAAGGGGGCUAGCGUUGCUCGGAAUCACUGGGCGUAAAGGGCGCGUAGGCGGCCGAUUAAGUCGGGGGUGAAAGCCUGUGGCUCAACCACAGAAUUGCCUUCGAUACUGGUUGGCUUGAGACCGGAAGAGGACAGCGGAACUGCGAGU
rnacentral:rRNA from 32 species